GCCUCGGUGGUGUAGUGGUAGCAUGCAUCCCCGGUAUGCAUCAAACGCGGGUUCGACUACCGUCUGAGGUCA